AGGAUGAACGCUGGCGGCGUGCCUAAUACAUGCAAGUCGAGCGGUAAGGCCCCUUCGGGGGUACACGAGCGGCGGACGGCUGAGUAACACGUAGGAACGUACCCCAAACUGAGGGAUAAGCACCAGAAAUGGUGUCUAAUACCGCAUGUGGUCUUCGGAUUAAAGCUUCGGCGGUUUGGGAACGGCCUGCGCAUGAUUAGCUUGUUGGUGAGGUAAAAGCUUACCAAGGCGACGAUCAUUAGCUGGUCUGAGAGGAUGAUCAGCCAGACUGGGACUGAGAACGGCCCAGACUCCUACGGGAGGCAGCAGUAGGGAAUUUUCCACAAUGGGCGAAAGCCUGAUGGAGCAACGCCGCGUGCAGGACGAAGGCCUUCGGGUUGUAAACUGCUUUAGUAGGGAAGAAGCGAAAGUGACGGUACCUGCAGAAAAGCACCGGCUAACUACGCGCCAGCAGCCGC
rnacentral:rRNA from 1 species